UUUAUGGAGAGUUUGAUCCUGGCUCAGGAUGAACGCUGGCGGCGUGCCUAAUACAUGCAAGUCGAGCGAACGGACGAGAAGCUUGCUUCUCUGAUGUUAGCGGCGGACGGGUGAGUAACACGUGGAUAACCUACCUAUAAGACUGGGAUAACUUCGGGAAACCGGAGCUAAUACCGGAUAAUAUUUUGAACCGCAUGGUUCAAAAGUGAAAGACGGUCUUGCUGUCACUUAUAGAUGGAUCCGCGCUGCAUUAGCUAGUUGGUAAGGUAACGGCUUACCAAGGCAACGAUGCAUAGCCGACCUGAGAGGGUGAUCGGCCACACUGGAACUGAGACACGGUCCAGACUCCUACGGGAGGCAGCAGUAGGGAAUCUUCCGCAAUGGGCGAAAGCCUGACGGAGCAACGCCGCGUGAGUGAUGAAGGUCUUCGGAUCGUAAAACUCUGUUAUUAGGGAAGAACAUAUGUGUAAGUAACUGUGCACAUCUUGACGGUACCUAAUCAGAAAGCCACGGCUAACUACGUGCCAGCAGCCGCGGUAAUACGUAGGUGGCAAGCGUUAUCCGGAAUUAUUGGGCGUAAAGCGCGCGUAGGCGGUUUUUUAAGUCUGAUGUGAAAGCCCACGGCUCAACCGUGGAGGGUCAUUGGAAACUGGAAAACUUGAGUGCAGAAGAGGAAAGUGGAAUUCCAUGUGUAGCGGUGAAAUGCGCAGAGAUAUGGAGGAACACCAGUGGCGAAGGCGACUUUCUGGUCUGUAACUGACGCUGAUGUGCGAAAGCGUGGGGAUCAAACAGGAUUAGAUACCCUGGUAGUCCACGCCGUAAACGAUGAGUGCUAAGUGUUAGGGGGUUUCCGCCCCUUAGUGCUGCAGCUAACGCAUUAAGCACUCCGCCUGGGGAGUACGACCGCAAGGUUGAAACUCAAAGGAAUUGACGGGGACCCGCACAAGCGGUGGAGCAUGUGGUUUAAUUCGAAGCAACGCGAAGAACCUUACCAAAUCUUGACAUCCUUUGACAACUCUAGAGAUAGAGCCUUCCCCUUCGGGGGACAAAGUGACAGGUGGUGCAUGGUUGUCGUCAGCUCGUGUCGUGAGAUGUUGGGUUAAGUCCCGCAACGAGCGCAACCCUUAAGCUUAGUUGCCAUCAUUAAGUUGGGCACUCUAAGUUGACUGCCGGUGACAAACCGGAGGAAGGUGGGGAUGACGUCAAAUCAUCAUGCCCCUUAUGAUUUGGGCUACACACGUGCUACAAUGGACAAUACAAAGGGCAGCGAAACCGCGAGGUCAAGCAAAUCCCAUAAAGUUGUUCUCAGUUCGGAUUGUAGUCUGCAACUCGACUACAUGAAGCUGGAAUCGCUAGUAAUCGUAGAUCAGCAUGCUACGGUGAAUACGUUCCCGGGUCUUGUACACACCGCCCGUCACACCACGAGAGUUUGUAACACCCGAAGCCGGUGGAGUAACCUUUUAGGAGCUAG
rnacentral:rRNA from 1 species